UACGUAGGGGGCUAGCGUUGUCCGGAAUCAUUGGGCGUAAAGCGCGUGUAGGCGGUCCGGUAAGUCCGCUGUGAAAGUCGAGGGCUCAACCCUCGAAUGCCGGUGGAUACUGUCGGGCUAGAGUGCGGAAGAGGCGAGUGGAAUUCCUGGUGUAGCGGUGAAAUGCGCAGAUAUCAGGAGGAACACCGGUGGCGAAGGCGGGUCUCUGGGCCGAUACUGACGCUGAGACGCGAAAGCGUGGGGAGCGAACAGG
rnacentral:rRNA from 1 species